GACGAAGGGGGCUAGCGUUGUUCGGAAUUACUGGGCGUAAAGCGUGCGCAGGCGGUUCGUUGUGUCGGCGGUGAAAGCCCCGGGCUCAACCUGGGAAUGGCCGUUGAAACUGGCGAACUGGAGUGUGGCAGAGGGGGGUGGAAUUCCGCGUGUAGCAGUGAAAUGCGUAGAGAUGCGGAGGAACACCGAUGGCGAAGGCAGCCCCCUGGGCUGACACUGACGCUCAGGCACGAAAGCGUGGGGAGCAAACAGG
rnacentral:rRNA from 1 species